rnacentral:rRNA from 1 species
UACGUAGGGGGCAAGCGUUGUCCGGAAUCAUUGGGCGUAAAGCGCGUGUAGGCGGCCCGGUAAGUCCGCUGUGAAAGUCCAGGGCUCAACCCUGGAAUGCCGGUGGAUACUGUCGGGCUCGAGUCCUGAAGAGGCGAGUGGAAUUCCUGGUGUAGCGGUGAAAUGCGCAGAUAUCAGGAAGAACACCGAUGGCGAAGGCGGCUCGCUGGUCCGGUACUGACGCUGAGGUGCGAAAGCGUGGGGAGCAAACAGG